UACGUAGGGGGCGAGCGUUGUCCGGAAUGAUUGGGCGUAAAGGGCGCGUAGGCGGCCGAGCAAGUCAGUAGUGGAAGUCCAAUUUUCAAGGUUGGAAGUGCUAUUGAAACUGCAGGGCUUGAGUGCAGGAGAGGUUAUCGGAAUUCCCGGUGUAGCGGUGAAAUGCGUAGAGAUCGGGAGGAACACCAGUGGCGAAGGCGGGUAACUGGACUGCAACUGACGCUGAGGCGCGAAAGUGUGGGGAGCAAACAGGAUUAGAACCCGUGUAGUCC
rnacentral:rRNA from 1 species